GAUAAUAAGAUCGGGUGCACAUGUGGGUAUAGCCCUGCUGCUGCCCCAUCAUCCAGCUAGUCAGUCGUUAGAAGAUCUUUAGAGAACAAACUCCCCAACAUGACGGACGCUCAGGAAUAUCCAGUUGUACAGACGUGCUACGGACCGAUUCGAGGUUUGAAAAAGGUGGCCAGCACGGGCGUGAAUUAUUACAACUUUCAGCGUAUCCCUUAUUGCAAGCCGCCCAUUGGAGAGCGUAGAUUCAAAGAUUUGGAACUACCGGAACCGUGGACGGAACCGCUGGACUGUUCGCAGCAGGGCCCCAGUGGAUAUCAGUACAGCAAACUGUUGAACAAAAUCAUUGGCAGCGAGGACCAUCUGUACAUUAACGUGUACACCAAGCAGCUAAAUCCGACCAAACCGCUCCCGGUGCUACUUUGGAUUCAUGGUGGGGCAUUUAUGCGAGGUUCGAGCGGCACGGAAAUGUACGCACCGGACUAUCUGCUCCAGAAGGAUGUUGUGUUUGUUUCGUUCAACUAUCGUAUCGGAGCCUUUGGAUUUUUGUCGCUGGAUUCAAAAGAACUGGGCAUUCCUGGUAACGCUGGUCUCAAGGAUCAGAAUCUUGCCAUUCGCUGGGUACGUGAUAACGUGGCCAACUUUGGAGGUGAUCCGAGAUCGCUUACCCUCUUCGGAGAGAGUGCCGGUGGCUGUUCGGUGCACUAUCACAUGCUGUCCAACCAAUCGAGGGGGCUGUUUGACCGCGCGAUAGUGAUGUCAGGAUGUGCUUUAAAUAACUGGGCUACCGUACCGAGAAGAAACAUGGCGGAACGCUUAGCCAAAGCGCUCGGAUGGGAUGGAGUAGGUGGAGAAGCGGCCGCACUAAAAGUACUAAUGGACGCACCGGCUGAGGAUAUCAUUAAGCACCAGGAUCUACUGUUGACGGCCAAUGAAUUGGAGAACAGGAUCUUGUUUGCUUUUGGGCCAGUCAUUGAACCUUACGUUACUGAGCGUACCUUCAUUCCGAAGAGUCCUCUGGAAAUGUGCCGUGAGGCAUGGAGCAAUGACCUUGACAUACUGAUUGGCGGGAAUUCGGACGAGGGACUGUUCUGUCUGAGCGGGAUCAAGGAAAAUCCUUCUAUCAUGGACAACCUGAAGGAUUUCGAGUUCCUGGUACCACUGGAACUGGAGCUGGUGCGUACUUCACAGGCCUGUAAGGAGUACGGAUUGAAACUGAAACGUUUCUACUACGGCAAUACGGAGCCGUCGUUCGAAAAUCGAAACGGUUAUCUCACGCUUAUGACGGACAAACUGUUUUGGCAUGGACUGCAUCGUACCAUUUGCGGUCGUAUUGCUUCUGGCAAGCCAGCAAAAACGUACGUGUACCGGUUUGCCGUGGAUUCGGACACGUAUAAUCAUUACCGGAUUUACUUCUGCGAUCGUAAUGUCCGCGGUACGGCUCAUGCGGACGAUUUGUCGUACAUCUUCAAAAAUGCAUUCAGCCCUGUUCCUGCCAAUGAUACGUUCGAGUAUAGGACAAUGAUGACAAUGGUUGAGCUGUUCUCUAACUUUGCUACGAGCGGUAAUCCGAAUGGAGGUGUUGCCGGUGACGUUUGGGUUCCAGUGGACAGUUCGAUUGGUACAUACAAGUGUCUCAACAUCACCAAUGAUGGUUUAAGCUACGUAGAGCUCCCCGAGAGACAGCGUAUGGAGCUGUGGGAUUCCAUAUACCGCAAGGAACAGCUUUAUUAGAUGUUGCAGUAUGCAUGCAAUCGCAACUGUUGGUGUGUUACUGCAAGAUCAAAAAGAUCCGAACGUAUCUUCAUGAUAACCUAAACUGGUUGGCGGUAUUACCAGCCAGCAAGUAGAUUUGCUCAGGAGUUGCAGGAACAUCUACAAAACGGGAAAUAAAAGAAACAUUUUAAGGGAAACGGUACCAAUAGCCUGAUG